GAGUUUGAUCAUGGCUCAGAUUGAACGCUGGCGGCAGGCCUAACACAUGCAAGUCGAGCGGAUGACGGGAGCUUGCUCCUUGAUUCAGCGGCGGACGGGUGAGUAAUGCCUAGGAAUCUGCCUGGUAGUGGGGGGACAACGUUUCGAAAGGAACGCUAAUACCGCAUACGUCCUACGGGAGAAAGCAGGGGACCUUCGGGCCUUGCGCUAUCAGAUGAGCCUAGGUCGGAUUAGCUAGUUGGUGGGGUAAUGGCUCACCAAGGCGACGAUCCGUGACUGGUCUGAGAGGAUGAUCAGUCACACUGGAACUGAGACACGGUCCAGACUCCUACGGGAGGCAGCAGUGGGGAAUAUUGGACAAUGGGCGAAAGCCUGAUCCAGCCAUGCCGCGUGUGUGAAGAAGGUCUUCGGAUUGUAAAGCACUUUAAGUUGGGAGGAAGGGCAGUAAGUUAAUACCUUGCUGUUUGACGUUACGACAGAAUAAGCACCGGCUAACUCU
rnacentral:rRNA from 1 species